GGAAGGAUCAUUAAAGUGGCUUUGUAUAAAUUCCAUAUUCAAGUUUUGAGUAUGGUGGGUCUAGCUGGGUAGAUAUCGUGAGGUGCUAUAGUGCAUAAGGUGACCUAGCCAAGGCUAACAGUCUAUUAAAGGCGCCGAGGGGACGAUCUCUGACAUUCCGGAAGACCAGUGAUUAACUGGUUGACCUACGAGUCUUGAGGCGAGGUCUACCUUUGGUGGAACUAGUGGACUCAGUUGAUGAAAGAACCUGAAGGUUAGUGAAUUCUUCAGAACGAGUUUGGAGGCACAUAAAAGUGAUCCCACUUAGCCAGACCUGGUGCGCUACAGGUCCUAUAGAGGUGAGCCAAAUCUUGGACUGAAGGUUUAUUGAAUUAUUCGAACCGAGUUUGGAGGCACGUAAAAAGUGAUCCCACUUCGCCUGGACCUGGUGCGCUACAGGUCCUAUAGAGGUGAGCAAAUCUUGGACUGAAGGUUUAUUGAAUUAUUCGGACUGAGUUUGGAGGCAACGUAAAAGUGAUCCCACUUCGCCUGGACCUGGUGCGCUACAGGUCCUAUAGAGUGAGCCAAAUCUUGGACUGAAGGUUUAUUGAAUUAUUCGGACCGAGUUUGGAGGCACGUAAAAGUGAUCCCACUUCGCCUGGACCUGGUGCGCGACAGGUCCUAUAGAGGUGAGCCAAAUCUUGGACUGAAGGUUUAUUGAUUUAUUUGGACUGAGUUUGGAGGCACGUAAAAAUGAUCCCACUUCGCCUGGACCUGGUGCGCUACAGGUCCUAUAGAGGUGAGCCAAAUCUUGGACUGAAGGUUUAUUGAAUUAUUCGGACCGAGUUUGGAGGCACGUGAAAGUGAUCCCACUUCGCCAGGACCUGGUGCGCUACAGGUCCUGUAGAGGUGAGCCAAACCUUGGACUGAAGUCUUCAGGGAAGUAAUUGACUUUACAGACAUACGAGGUAGUUCUCUCUGUGGGCGUAGUUCGUCUGGCUACAUGAGUGCCCAUUGAGUUUCUGUGACUAGGCUCCUUGAAAGUCAGUACAUAACUUUGGUUCCCCUAGCAGUGGCCGUAUGGGGUAGUGAAAUUCGGUGGCUGGCUUGGUUGAAAUGUCUGAUUCUGCUUGCAGGGUCGGGCGAGUCCUAGGUAAGUCGCCGGGUGGAUCUACUAGCUGCGAAGGCUCGACAAUGUCAGUGGCGGUGACUUAUCCGACCCGUCUUGAAACAUGGACCAAGGAGUCUAACAUGUGCGUGAGUUAUUGAGUGGUAAACUCAAAGGCGAAAUAAAAGUAAAGACAGUGUAUGCUGGCUUAAAUAUGAUCUCUGACUUCGGUCAGAGUGGAGUAUUGUCCCAUCUAAGAGGUUCGUCCUCUGGGUGCAGAAAAGAGCGUAAAUGUUGGGACCUGAAGAUGGUGAACUAUGCCUGAGCAGAACGAAGCCAGAGGGAAACUCUGGUGGAGGUUCGUAGAGGUUCUGACGUGCAAAUCGAUCGUCAGGACUUGGGUAUAGGGGCGAAAGACUAAUCGAAACCAUCUAAGUAGCUGGUUCCCUC
rnacentral:misc_RNA from 1 species